UAGAUGGCCUUUUUAACCAACUUUUCCCCUGUUUUUUUGGUUUGUAAAGCUUUGGCAGCUCUGAUCCUUCUUUCAGCGAAGUGGGUCUAAACACCUCGUUUUAUUUAACUAUCAAGAUUUUAAAUUGUUUGUCGUCGUUAUUUGAAACCUGGAAUUCCUAGCAACUAUCAACCCAUUCAAAAAAUUGAAUUAAAAGUAAAAACAAAACAAAAAUAUCCCAAUAUCAUCAGAACAAAUCCAUUUCACGUUAACUCUGCUGAUGUGCAUUCGUUCAUGUGCUGUAUUUUCCAAAAUUUUGGGUUCGAUUUGGUAAAUUGUUUGUUCAGUUCGUCUUCAACUCAUAUUGUUGUGACGUGCUUCUUGCUUCUAUGCAUUCUGAUUCUCUGCUGACGGAUCUUGGAGUAAUUGUGCAAAAUUAAGUUUCCACCGAAGCGUAACGAUUCGUCAAUCUCGAUUAUUUACUUUUGGGGAUUAUAUUUUUUUUUUAUAGACAAGUAACCACCGGGAAGGUGUGUGGAUUGAACGUGGCUGGAAUAAAAAAAAUUAUGAUUUUGAAUAAAAGGACUUUUAUUUAAAAAAAAAUUAAAC